AUUCAUAUGAAGUCAAGCGUCCUCAGCGUUGAAGCUUAAUGAUCCUUUGAUGUCAGCUCUUCCUAUUUUUGUGAAGCAGAAUUACAUCAAGCGUUUCAUUGUUCAUCCACUAAGAGGGAGCAUGAGCUAGUUUAGAGCACUUCGGCCUGAGACAGGUC
rnacentral:ncRNA from 1 species